GAAUUAUUUGAAUAAGUUGUGGAUUGAACAAAGCUGCUGCACGUUGUAGUUAUGCUAGCAAAACUUGAUACAAUGUUCUAGUUCAUGUCAAUAAAAGAGAAAUGACUAACUUGUUUUUUAUGACUUUUAUUGUUAGGAUCUUUAUCUUCUUCUCGUGCACAGCUCGAUCUUUUGGAGCAAUUUACAUCUACAAGCUCAUCAGUCACUGGUAUGCAAUCUUUAAAUCAGAAUCAAUGAAAAUGUUUAGUAGAGAAAAACAAAUUGUUCAAUGGUUUUGCAAAUCUCCAAAGUGAUGCAAAGUGAUUCAUAUCAUUGAAAAUUUAAGUGAUAUAAGAAACAUGGUAUGAUAAUAUAUAUAUACCAGAGAAUGAAUCCCUGGUUUCAAAACUUUACAUUACCUUCACAUGAAAUUGGCAUGUGUUAUAGCCCAAAAUUAAUGCCUAUGAAGAGAAAUAUAGACACGUUGUUCGUAUCAAAUAGUUAAUUUCCUAUUUCUUCCAUACCCUGAUCUCUAUGUUCAUGUGUCACUACUGAUAUGAUAUCGCACAGACUGAUAUGGGAGCAUUUCUGGUUUCUAGGUUAUGAAAGUGAUGGCAGCUCUCAGCGACUUAGAAUUCGGGAACAGCUUG
rnacentral:lncRNA from 1 species